GGGUCGAGGGGACAGGGUCGGUGUUCACCCGGAGGAGCACGGCUGGGACGUGCUAGCACGGGGCAGGUCGCUGAGGGUGGAGCUCAGAGGAGGAGCUGGGGUGACACGUUCUCAGCAGAGCUUGCAUGUGAAACUGCAGGAGUCUCCUGAACACGCUGCUGCUUUCCCUGUGCGUGUCUGGUCCUUUCAUGAUCCAAGUUUACAACCGGGGGAGCCGCGGUGUGGUGUGAUGUGUCCUGGGGCCGGAGCAGUGCUGGCCGUGUUUGCCAUGUCUUGUUGCAGGUUGGCAGCUGGAGCAGGGGGACUCGUGGAGCAGUGGCUGCAGGGACAGGACUGAGGUGGGGACACUGCUAUGUCUUCCUUCAGUACGCCGUGGAACAUCACCCAAUGUCAUAUUUAUGCCUGUUUGCUAGAAACCAAGGAAAGGUCACUUGCCAAGGUCAUCUGGUGCCGAACGAGUCUCUCCAGUCCAAAUACAUUUUUAAUACCGUCAUUCCCUGUAAAGCAAACAAGUAGGAAUUGUUGAUGUAAGAUAGAUGUUGGGGUCAUGCCAGCACUAUAAUUACCCAGUGACAGGGUGUUAGGAUUAGGGAUAUGGGAGAUGGCAGAAAGAGCUGGCAGCCGUGGAGGACAGGAGUGCAGCUGGGCCAGGCACUUCAGCAGUGGAUGAGGGGAAAAGCAGAGAUCGAGGUAAGGCAGUGCAGUGUAUGACACAAAGCAUGAUUGGUAUGUUCUUAGUUGUAGCACAGUAAAAUCUCAGGGCUGUCUUCAUUUUUUUUCCCUUUCUUUUUGACUGCACUGUGAUUUGGGAACGGAGGUUGAUUCGUAACAGACUAGUUUUUUUCCAACAAUCCAGUGAGAAAACGAUGGCAAAACUAGGCUGUAGCAUCUGUGUUGGAAACAGAGAAAUGAAAUCCAAGAUUAAAGUCUGAUUUUGUGAAGACAAAAACAAACAACUGAUAGGUGGAAUGUUUAGAAGUGUUUAUCCGUAGUUUUAAUUCUCCUGACAGGGAAAAAAAAUCUGGCACGUCACUUCAUGGCUUUCAUCAGCUUAUGAGAUUGUACUACUGUGAUAAAUAUAAUCAUAAUUUGCUCUUACUAAUUAUUUUAAUGAGUGGAAAUUCUGUGUGGCUGUUGCUUACAGCACACAAAGUGCCAUAACUAAUCAAAGGGAGAAGGAAAGGUAUAAAAAGAAGAUGGAGAAAGUGAGAAUAAAUUUAGGUCCAUUAGGAGUUACAUUUGAGGGAAUGAGUUGCAAAAGUAGAAAUAAUUGAGAGCACUUUGGAAUUGCAAAGUGUAAAAAGUAGAGACGAAGGGUACUACAGGUGUUGGAAUGAAAAUAAUGUUUCUGAGAACACUUUUAAUAUUUUUGUGUGCAUGUUUAAUGGAGAAAGGAGACUGGAAGUAAAAUUAGAGAUGAAAAAGAUCCAUUACCAUGUAUAGGGCCUAAGAGAAUCAGGUAAAAUAAUAAACUGAGCAGUGGAUACAUUUCUGUGAUGUUCUAAGUAUUUAUAAUAACAUAAUAAUAUAAUAUAAUAUAAUAUAACUGUGUCAUUUAAACUGUAAGCCACUGGCAUAUUAUGUUUUCCUGAACCCUUCUUCAUCCCCUGGAGAAAUCCCACUGGGCCAGUCUCACGCAGUGCUGUGAGAGAAGUAGCUGGCAAUGGUCAGUGCCUUUCUGGUUCUCUUGGCACUGCCACAUGGCUCCUGCAACAGCUGAGCUGUACCCACUGCUCAUCCGGGACAUUCAUCUGACCCUUCCUUCUCUGCAUGAGUGCCAGCUCGCAGUGGAGCUGCGUGGGUGUAGUUAUCCCUCAGGCUUUUCAGCUCCUUUUUCAAAUUGCCUGAUGAGUUCAGAAGUUAUCAGGGGCAGAGUCAAAGGCUAAGAUGAAACUACAGAAAGCAGUUGCAUUCUGAAAUGAGGAUGCAAUUAUUGUAUGGGUAUUUUAUGAGGUGUCUGCUGCUUACCAGAAAGUGUCCAUCCCAGAACUGUGGAAAGCAGCAGGUGGGUGAGGAGUUGGUGUGAAGUGCUUGGCUGCUGUGCUCGGAGGAGGAGGAGAAAGGGGAGGAGGAGGAGGGAAGUGUCAGCUCCUGCUUCGUUUCUGCGAACGCUGUCACACAGUGAAGCGGGCGAGCACCUCGCAGCCAUGUUAGGUAAGGGCAGCCGGAGCCAGCUGUGUCCCUCCUUUUUCUGGGCAGGAAGUCCAUGAAAAUGUUAUGCUAGCCAUCAUAGCUGAGGGCAGAAAGAGCCCGUUCCAAAGCCAUCUUGGAUAAGGGAAAGGGAGCUCUUUACGGGACUUGCACUGUCACAAUUAUCCCCUACAGAGCUUGUGUCUCUUUCAGGAGGAUGAAAUGCAGCUGAGAUAGUUCAUGUGCAUACCUGAAAACCAUCAAGAUUUUGUCUUCCAAAACAUUCUGAACCAAGCUGUCAAAAUGGAUGUGAGCAGUCUGCACAGUCACUCCCUGCUGAAGCUGAUGGAGCCUGGCCAGCCAGCAGCCAACACAGCAUUUGCUGCUACCUGAUAGAAACCAUCCUGCUGAGAGAUCGCAGCUGUAGGAGCAAGAUAGAGCAUGGGAGAAAGCAAGGCAGGCUCAACCACUGAGCAGUUGUGAUCUUUAGAACCCAGCUGUCCCACAUAGGCCUUUUCUCAUUUUUAUUCCAGCAACUGACAUCAAGGGCAAGCUUUUUCUAGCAGUAUCUCUUGUCCAAACCCUUCCAGAUAUUAACAGAUGGCUGUAUUUCUGCAAAACAAGGCAGAGUUCCUGGAGAUUUAUAAGGGCAUAUUUCAUAUGCAGAGCCCUAGUGUUUUAUGAGGCUUUAUUGCAAGUUGUAGCAAAAUGCUCUCAGUUAGUUGGUCCCCAGCACUGAAGUCUGUUUUUUGUCCUGCAUCGAUGCUUCUUGAAAGGAAACUCAGAUGUUUCUAAAUGUUACAGUACAUGCAGAAAUAUUUUUCUUUCUCAACUGAAGGAGAUAAUCACAUUUUAUCAAAACUAAAAUGUAUUUAAAAUUGCUAAGUAAAAAUCUUUCUGAAUAACUGUUUAUUUGGAAUAUCUCCGGUAGGUAAGAAUUCUUUCUUCUGUACCUUUUUUAUCAGGGAUCGCGUGUCUAUUCUCUUAACUUUCUCCUGCAAAAGAUUAUUUGUUAAGCAUCCAGUGGAAUGAAUUUACUGUUUAAUAAAAUGUAUCACUCUUA